rnacentral:misc_RNA from 1 species
AAAUAGGAAUAUUGUGGAAAUGUUUUUUUUCUUUUUUUGGCUUUUGUCCACGGAGGAAACAGGCUAUUGCUUAUUGAGAGAGGCCUUAGCCUCAGAUAGAGAAAGGGUAUAGCCUAUGAAGAAGGGACUAUUAUUCAUUAUAGUUGAAGACACCUUUCUGUGGUGUAUAAAGUAGCUAAAAAAAUAAAUAUAUUGAGUUGUUUUUAGAGAAAAAUGAGAGUGUCUGACUAAUAUAUUUAUUAUGAGCAGU